rnacentral:rRNA from 1 species
UACAGAGGGGGCAAGCGUUGUUCGGAAUUACUGGGCGUAAAGGGCGCGUAGGCGGCCUUCUAAGUCGAACGUGAAAUCCCUGGGCUCAACCCAGGAACUGCGUCCGAUACUGGAAGGCUUGAAUCCGGGAGAGGGAUGCGGAAUUCCAGGUGUAGCGGUGAAAUGCGUAGAUAUCAGGAGGAACACCGAUGGCGAAGGCAGCUUCCUGGUCCAAUUCUGACGCUGAGGUGCGAAAGCGUGGGUAGCGAACGGG